UACAGAGGUCUCAAGCGUUGUUCGGAUUCAUUGGGCGUAAAGGGUGCGUAGGCGGCGCGGUAAGUCGGGUGUGAAAUCUCGGGGCUUAACUCCGAAACUGCAUUCGAUACUGCCGUGCUUGAGGACUGGAGAGGAGACUGGAAUUUACGGUGUAGCGGUGAAAUGCGUAGAUAUCGUAAGGAAGACCAGUGGCGAAGGCAGGUCUCUGGGCCGCUACUGACGCUGAGAAGCGAAAGCAUGGGGAGCGAACAGG
rnacentral:rRNA from 1 species